rnacentral:rRNA from 1 species
AUUGAACGCUGGCGGCAGGCCUAACACAUGCAAGUCGAGCGGAUGAAGGGAGCUUGCUCCUGGAUUCAGCGGCGGACGGGUGAGUAAUGCCUAGGAAUCUGCCUGGUAGUGGGGGAUAACGUCCGGAAACGGGCGCUAUUACCGCAUACGUCCUGAGGGAGAAAGUGGGGGAUCUUCGGACCUCACGCUAUCAGAUGAGCCUAGGUCGGAUUAGCUAGUUGGUGGGGUAAAGGCCUACCAAGGCGACGAUCCGUAACUGGUCUGAGAGGAUGAUCAGUCACACUGGAACCGAGACACCGUCCAGGCUCCUAGGGGAGGCACCAGUUGGGAAUAUUGGACGAUGGGCGGAAGCUUGCUCCAGCCAUGCCGGGUGUGUGAAGAAGGUCUUCGGAUUGUAAAGCGGCUUAAGUUGGGAGGAAGGGCAGUAAGUUAAUACCUUGCUGUUUUGACGUUACCAACAGAAUAAGCACCGGCUAACUUCGUG